rnacentral:misc_RNA from 1 species
GAUGAAGAACGUAGCGAAAUGCGAUAAGUAAUGUGAAUUGCAGAAUUCAGUGAAUCAUCGAGUCUUUGAACGCACAUUGCGCCCCCUGGUAUUCCGGGGGGCAUGCCUGUCCGAGCGUCAUUGCUGCCCUCAAGCACGGCUUGUGUGUUGGGCCCCCGUCCCCGGUUUCCCCCGGGGACGGGCCCGAAAGGCAGCGGCGGCACCGCGUCCGGUCCUCGAGCGUAUGGGGCUUUGUCACCCGCUCUGUAGGCCCGGCCGGCGCCAGCCGACACCCAACUUUAUUUCUAAGGUUGACGUCGGAUCAGGUAGGGAUACCCGCUGAACUUAAGCAUAUCAAUAAGCGGAGGA